rnacentral:misc_RNA from 1 species
CCUUAAAGAACCUGCCUUUGCAGUGCUCACACAGAUUGUCUGAUGAAAAUAGAGCAGUAAGUAAUCUCUGCAGGCUUGUAGCUCAGGUGGUUAGAGCGCACCCCUGAUAAGGGUGAGGUCGGUGGUUCAAGUCCACUCAGGCCUACCAAAUUUGCGAAGCAAAUUUGAAGAGGUUGCAAACGAUGGGGCUAUAGCUCAGCUGGGAGAGCGCCUGCUUUGCACGCAGGAGGUCUGCGGUUCGAUCCCGCAUAGCUCCACCAUCUUUACUGCGAACACAAGAAAACUUCAGAGUGAACCUGAAAAGGUGCACUGCGAAGUUUUGCUCUUUAAAAAUCUGGAUCAAGCUGAAAAUUGAAACGACACACAGUUAAUGUGUGUUCGAGUCUCUCAAAUUUUCGCGACACGAUGAUGUUUUACGAAACAUCUUCGGGUUGUGA